AGCCCCUCGAAUGUUAAAAAUGAUGGGGGGUGUGGCCUGCCCUGUGUGCUAUAAAAGCAUUAACGGCUGCAGUAUCCUGACUGUACUAAGGUAGCAUAAUCAUUUGGCCUUUCAUUGAGGUCUGGCAUGAAAGGUCGUUCGGGACUGAGCUGUCUCCUGGUUAUUUGUUAAAAAUUAUCUUUAAGGUGAAGAGACCUUACUAAAGGGGAAAGACGAGAAGACCCCGGUGAGCUUGUUUAAGGGUGUUAGUUUAGUUUGACUUCCGGUGAUUUGGCUGGGGCGUCCAGGGGACAAACAAAGCUCCCCUUUUAUGAAGAUUAACUUAAAUUAGGGAGAUCCUCCAUUGGAGCUGAACGCAAAGUUACCCCGGGGAUAACAGCAUAAUCCUCCCAAAGAGAUCUAAUCGAGGGGAGGGGUUAUGACCUCGGAUGUUGGACUAGGGGCGCUAACGGAAAUCUGUUUGGUGCAGCAG
rnacentral:rRNA from 1 species